rnacentral:rRNA from 1 species
CCCCCUGCGGCCUAUCUGCAGUCGACGCGUUGGCCCAAUUGAUUGAUGGUGCUUGCACCUGAUUGAUUUUGGUCGCCAACGAGUGGCGGACGGGUGAGUAACACGUAGGUAACCUGCCCAGAAGCGGGGGACAACAUUUGGAAACAGAUGCUAAUACCGCAUAACAACGUUGUUCGCAUGAACAACGCUUAAAAGAUGGCUUCUCGCUAUCACUUCUGGAUGGACCUGCGGUGCAUUAGCUUGUUGGUGGGGUAACGGCCUACCAAGGCGAUGAUGCAUAGCCGAGUUGAGAGACUGAUCGGCCACAAUGGGACUGAGACACGGCCCAUACUCCUACGGGAGGCAGCAGUAGGGAAUCUUCCACAAUGGGCGCAAGCCUGAUGGAGCAACACCGCGUGAGUGAAGAAGGGUUUCGGCUCGUAAAGCUCUGUUGUUAAAGAAGAACACGUAUGAGAGUAACUGUUCAUACGUUGACGGUAUUUAACCAGAAAGUCACGGCUAACUACGUGCCAGCAGCCGCGGUAAUACGUAGGUGGCAAGCGUUAUCCGGAUUUAUUGGGCGUAAAGAGAGUGCAGGCGGUUUUCUAAGUCUGAUGUGAAAGCCUUCGGCUUAACCGGAGAAGUGCAUCGGAAACUGGAUAACUUGAGUGCAGAAGAGGGUAGUGGAACUCCAUGUGUAGCGGUGGAAUGCGUAGAUAUAUGGAAGAACACCAGUGGCGAAGGCGGCUACCUGGUCUGCAACUGACGCUGAGACUCGAAAGCAUGGGUAGCGAACAGGAUUAGAUACCCUGGUAGUCCAUGCCGUAAACGAUGAGUGCUAGGUGUUGGAGGGUUUCCGCCCUUCAGUGCCGGAGCUAACGCAUUAAGCACUCCGCCUGGGGAGUACGACCGCAAGGUUGAAACUCAAAGGAAUUGACGGGGGGCCCGCACAAGCGGUGGAGCAUGUGGUUUAAUUCGAAGCUACGCGAAAGAAACCUUACCAGGUCUUGACAUCUUGCGCCCAACCCUAGAGAUAGGGCGUUUCCUUCGGGAACGCAAUGACAGGUGCUGCAUGGGUCGUCGUCAGCUCGUGUCGUGAGAUGUUGGGUUUAGUCCCGCACGAGCGCAACCCUUUGUAACUAGGUGGCCAGCCAUUUAAGGUUGGUCACUCUAGUGAGACUGACGCGACAAAUCGGAAGGUAUGGUGGGGGGACA